GAACCACUAUGCUACAGAAACAUCUGUCUUUAGAAAGCGAAACAACGGAGGAAACAUGAAUAACUUACCAUGGCCGUUAAGUUGAGCAAGUUACCGAAGUGGCUGACGGCCUUCCAUUUAUGGAUGGUAUACCAUCUGUCGGCGAGACCAAAUACGUAAACCAAAUACGUAAACCAAACGCCAAUCAGAAGUAGCAAAGCAGGCAAGGAGAUAUAAAUAUUGCACAGCAUUUGUUCUCACAUGGUGCCUUGGAAGAAAUCACCGCCAUUUAAAAAAAUUGUGUCCGGAUGCUGUUCACGAAUUUUUCGAGCUUGAUGGACCAGACGGGCAUAUCCACCGAAACAAUUGCCAUCCUCCGAGUCUCGUUGUUUGCACGCCCCACCGAGUUUGUUGGCCUCUUCGAAACGGCAAUGGAUAUCGUUAGUGUGUAGGAUAGUCAAAUUAAACGAAGCUGAUGCCUGCUUGACAACGAAAGAUACACAAAACAGACCCAACAGCCUCAACCACAUGAGUACGGUAUUACGUGUCGACCAGUCCUGCAUUUUCUGCUCAACUGUGGACAAAAUUUUGAGCGUUCAGCGUUAUAUUGCUCACCAAACUGGAAAUAGGCGUCGCCACAAGCUGUCUACUAGCUUUCGGAGAGAGGAGACUAAAUCCGAAGGACGUAACCAGCAAGAGUCAUCUCCUAUUCAAACUUCCCUUCGCAGAUUCCCUUCGGGAUUCGGUUUGCUAUAAGAAGCUAGCCCAGAUGCCAAUCGUCUUGAUCCCUCUCCCUUUGAUUGCGAUUCGAGUCAACGCAUUCCAUCAUGCCAGCGAUUGCAGACGUUGUUCGACCAUUCUUUUCACAGGAUUUUAUGACUGGACUUCCUGCAAUUCCUGAUACCAUCUGUCCUAAGAGGUUGUAGACAAGAUGGCUGAAGCCGUCUUAACUGUUCCAGCAAUUUCCAAGGUCCUGUAUGACCUGACGGCGAAACCACCGGAGAAAACGGAGUGGGGAUGAUUUGAUUUACGAACGUUGCUUAGGCAAAUGAUCUCCACACUCUUUAUAGGACAAGGAUACGGAGUUUUAUCAUGACCAGACUUAGAUGGGAGAUAUUACGAACAUUGGAUUCAGUAUAGACUUUUGAAAUUAAAAAAUUUAUUAGCUUUGUCGUCUCGUGAAAAUCUCUUUAACUCGCUUUUUAAGAGGAGUUCACGUGAUGACUUGUCUAUUUCUUAAUAUACGUGCACACUUGUCGGAAA
rnacentral:lncRNA from 1 species